rnacentral:rRNA from 1 species
GACGAACGCUGGCGGCGUGCUUAACACAUGCAAGUCGAACGGAAAGGCCCUGCUUUUGUGGGGUGCUCGAGUGGCGAACGGGUGAUUAACACGUGAGUAACCUGCCCUUGACUUUGGGAUAACUUCAGGAAACUGGGGCUAAUACCGGAUAGGAGCUCCUGCUGCAUGGUUGGGGUUGGAAAGUUUCGGCGGUUGGGGAUGGACUCGCGGCUUAUCAGCUUGUUGGUGGGGUAGUGGCUUACCAAGGCUUUGACGGGUAGCCGGCCUGAGAGGGUGACCGGCCACAUUGGGACUGAGAUACGGCCCAGACUCCUACGGGAGGCAGCAGUGGGGAAUAUGGCACAAUGGGCGGAAGCCUGAUGCAGCAACGCCGCGUGCGGGAUGACGGCCUUCGGGUUGUAAACCGCUUUCGCCUGUGACGAAGCGUGAGUGACGGUAAUGGGUAAAGAAGCACCGGCUAACUACGUG